rnacentral:rRNA from 1 species
GACGAACGCUGGCGGCGUGGAUUAGGCAUGCAAGUCGAACGGUAUCAUCCUUUCGGGGGUGAGAGAGUGGCGAACUGGUGAGUAACACGUAGGUUAUCUACCCUCAAGACGGGGACAACCCAGGGAAACUUGGGCUAAUACCGGAUGUGAGCAACUUUUAGUUGUUUGAAAGGUGGCGUAAGCUGUCGCUUGGGGAUGAGCCUGCGUCCUAUUAGUUAGUUGGUGAGGUAACGGCUCACCUAGGCAAUGAUAGGUAGGCGGCCUUAACGGGUGGUCGCCCACACUGGGAUUGAGAUACGGCCCAGACUCCUACGGGAGGCAGCAGUCGAGAAUAGUCUACAAUGGUCGAAAGACUGAUAGUGCGACGCCGCGUGAACGAAGAAGCCCUUCGGGGUGUAAAGUUCUUUUAUAUGUGAGCAGUGACACCCAUAUUAAUAGUAUGGGUGUAGAGAUAUUAGCAUAUGAAUAAGCAACGGCUAACUCCGUGCCAGCAGCCGCGGUAAACUGU